rnacentral:rRNA from 1 species
GAACGCUAGCUACAGGCUUAACACAUGCAAGUCGAGGGGCAGUAUGGUCUUAGCUUGCUAAGGCCGAUGGCGACCGGCGCACGGGUGAGUAACACGUAUCCAACCUGCCGUCUACUCUUGGACAGCCUUCUGAAAGGAAGAUUAAUACAAGAUGGCAUCAUGAGUCCGCAUGUUCACAUGAUUAAAGGUAUUCCGGUAGACGAUGGGGAUGCGUUCCAUUAGAUAGUAGGCGGGGUAACGGCCCACCUAGUCUUCGAUGGAUAGGGGUUCUGAGAGGAAGGUCCCCCACAUUGGAACUGAGACACGGUCCAAACUCCUACGGGAGGCAGCAGUGAGGAAUAUUGGUCAAUGGGCGAGAGCCUGAACCAGCCAAGUAGCGUGAAGGAUGACUGCCCUAUGGGUUGUAAACUUCUUUUAUAAAGGAAUAAAGUCGGGUAUGGAUACCCGUUUGCAUGUACUUUAUGAAUAAGGAUCGGCUAACUCCGUGCCAGCAGCCGCGGUAAUACGGAGGAUCCGAGCGUUAUCCGGAUUUAUUGGGUUUAAAGGGAGCGUAGGUGGAUGUUUAAGUCAGUUGUGAAAGUUUGCGGCUCAACCGUAAAAUUGCAGUUGAUACUGGAUAUCUUGAGUGCAGUUGAGGCAGGCGGAAUUCGUGGUGUAGCGGUGAAAUGCUUAGAUAUCACGAAGAACUCCGAUUGCGAAGGCAGCCUGCUAAGCUGCAACUGACAUUGAGGCUCGAAAGUGUGGGUAUCAAACAGGAUUAGAUACCCUGGUAGUCCACACGGUAAACGAUGAAUACUCGCUGUUUGCGAUAUACUGCAAGCGGCCAAGCGAAAGCGUUAAGUAUUCCACCUGGGGAGUACGCCGGCAACGGUGAAACUCAAAGGAAUUGACGGGGGCCCGCACAAGCGGAGGAACAUGUGGUUUAAUUCGAUGAUACGCGAGGAACCUUACCCGGGCUUAAAUUGCAGAUGAAUUACGGUGAAAGCCGUAAGCCGCAAGGCAUCUGUGAAGGUGCUGCAUGGUUGUCGUCAGCUCGUGCCGUGAGGUGUCGGCUUAAGUGCCAUAACGAGCGCAACCCUUGUUGUCAGUUACUAACAGGUUCCGCUGAGGACUCUGACAAGACUGCCAUCGUAAGAUGUGAGGAAGGUGGGGAUGACGUCAAAUCAGCACGGCCCUUACGUCCGGGGCUACACACGUGUUACAAUGGGGGGUACAGAGGGCCGCUACCACGCGAGUGGAUGCCAAUCCCCAAAACCUCUCUCAGUUCGGACUGGAGUCUGCAACCCGACUCCACGAAGCUGGAUUCGCUAGUAAUCGCGCAUCAGCCACGGCGCGGUGAAUACGUUCCCGGGCCUUGUACACACCGCCCGUCAAGCCAUGGGAGCCGGGGGUACCUGAAGUGCGUAACCGCGAGGAGCGCCCUAGGGUAAAACUGGUGACUGGGGCUAAGUC